GACGACGUUUGGGAGCCUUUGCUGAGUCCAGGGAGAGAGGCGUCCCCCACCGUGCCGCUGCAGCUCGGGCAGAGCCGCCAAGCUUUGGGGAUUACAGGCAUGAGCCACUGUACCUGGCGAAAAACAGUUUGUUAACACAGGCAGCCAACAUCACUCAGGAUAAGCCUCAAUGAAAAGUAACAAAGUGAUGGCUUGGAACACUGUCUUACACAGCAUUUUUAAAAAAUACAAUAAAUUUGUAGAGAUAGGAUGACCAAGGACAACAGUUUUAGGCUUCCAAAGGUGGUAAACUAUGGGAUGGUAAAUAUCCGAGAGGAAGCUGAUGCAACAGGAUUUGUCUGCAGCAGCCUCUGGUACCACCUCUGAGUCAAGGGUUGUGUCCAGUGAUGGAGAGUUUAUAUCGUGCCUUUAGGCAGAAAAGGGGAGGGAAACCUGAACUUUUCCUGCACUUUCUGCUUCUUAAUUGCCUUCAGCUGAAAAUCAUUUUUUAUGUGAAAAAGGCAUAGUCUGAGCUGACGCCUCUGCUUUCCUCCACCUGAAGAGAACCUGCGUGCUGCUCCUUUGCUUCGGACCUCCGCCUCUGCCCGGGAGAAAGCCCAGGCCAGCCUGCUGGACAAGCAGAGACCAUGAGAAGGAGAGUUCAGGGGUCCCAAACCAGGCCAUCCUAGACCAGCCAGCUCCAGCUGAUCCGCACGCAGCCACUUCGGCUACCUUCUACUGGCCAAAGGGAGUCCCAGGGCUCACCCAGAUUCAGAGGUGGGGAAACUGAGUCCACCACUUGAGAAGAGUAGCUAUAAAGACAUAUGAGCGAGGCCAGCUGAGCCCAGCACUGCGGCCAAGUCGAAGACUUUAGGAGCAAUAAAAGUGCUUAUUGUGUUUCAG
rnacentral:lncRNA from 10 species